UGGUCCUACGGGGGGCAGCAGUGGGGGAUAUUGCACAAUGGGGGAAACCCUGAUGCAGCGACGCCGCGUGUGGGAAGACGGUCCUCUGGAUUGUAAACCACUGUCCCCAGGGACGAAGAUGACGGUACCUGGGGAGGAAGCUCCGGCUAACUACGUGCCAGCAGCCGCGGUAAUACGUAGGGAGCGAGCGUUGUCCGGAAUUACUGGGUGUAAGGGGAGCGUAGGCGGGGAUGCAAGUUGGGUGUCACACCUACCGGCUCAACUGGUAGUCGCACUCACAACUGCAGCUCUUGAGUGAAGGAGAG
rnacentral:rRNA from 1 species